AUUCUAUGAUGAGGGCAUUUUCGUAAUAACUCUUUGUAUUUUCCCAUGCAUCAUACAAGGGCUCAUCAUCCAUUUGUUGGAAAGCAGUGAUCUCGUUCCUCAACUU
rnacentral:snoRNA from 1 species